GGGUACCUCUUGUUUCCGAACAAGACUCUGUUUUUGAGACUUUGGUUGGAUAAAGGAGUGAACUUGGGGAAAAAAUGAGAUUUUGAGAGAUGGGUUUUGGAUCGUCGAGGGAAAUAAGAGAUGGGGUUGUUGAAAUUGGAGAGGAAGUGAGGGUUUCGAUGAGAGAUUGGAGAAGAAGAAAUGUUUAAUAGCAUUGUUUCGUGAGAAGUGGAGAUUUUGGAGUACUACGGUGAAGUGGUACGAUUGGAG